rnacentral:rRNA from 1 species
AUUGAACGCUGGCGGAAUGCUUUACACAUGCAAGUCGAGCGGCAGCGCGGGGCAACCUGGCGGCGAGCGGCGAACGGGUGAGUAAUACAUCGGAACGUACCCAGUUGUGGGGGAUAGCCCGGCGAAAGCCGGAUUAAUACCGCAUACGACCUGAGGGUGAAAGGGGGGGAUCGCAAGACCUCUCGCAGUUGGAGCGGCCGAUGGCGGAUUAGCUAGUUGGUAGGGUAAAGGCCUACCAAGGCGACGAUCCGUAGCUGGUCUGAGAGGACGACCAGCCACACUGGAACUGAGACACGGUCCAGACUCCUACGGGAGGCAGCAGUGGGGAAUUUGGACAAUGGGCGCAAGCCUGAUCCAGCCAUGCCGCGUGAGUGAAGAAGGCCUCGGUUGUAAGACUCUUCGUCCGGGAGGAAAUACGCACGGUUAAGUAACCCUGUGUGGAGUGACGGUACCGGAAC